rnacentral:rRNA from 1 species
UGGGGGCACCCUGAUCCAGCCAUGCCGCGUGUGUGAAGAAGGCCCUCGGGUUGUAAAGCACUUUCAGCGAGGAAGAACGCCUAUCGGUUAAUACCCGGUAGGAAAGACAUCACUCGCAGAAGAAGCACCGGCUAACUCCGUGCCAGCAGCCGCGGUAAUACGGAGGGUGCAAGCGUUAAUCGGAAUUACUGGGCGUAAAGCGCGCGUAGGUGGCUUGAUAAGCCGGUUGUGAAAGCCCCGGGCUCAACCUGGGAACGGCAUCCGGAACUAUCAGGCUAGAGUGCAGGAGAGGAAGGUAGAAUUCCCGGUGUAGCGGUGAAAUGCGUAGAGAUCGGGAGGAAUACCAGUGGCGAAGGCGGCCUUCUGGACUGACACUGACACUGAGGUGCGAAAGCGUGGGUAGCAAACAGGAUUAGAUACCCUGGUAGUCCACGCCGUAAACGAUGUCGACCAGCCGUUGGGUGCCUAGCGCACUUUGUGGCGAAGUUAACGCGAUAAGUCGACCGCCUGGGGAGUACGGCCGCAAGGUUAAAACUCAAAUGAAUUGACGGGGGCCCGCACAAGCGGUGGAGCAUGUGGUUUAAUUCGAUGCAACGCGAAGAACCUUACCUACCCUUGACAUCCUGCGAACUUGUGAGAGAUCACUUGGUGCCUUCGGGAGCGCAGAGACAGGUGCUGCAUGGCUGUCGUCAGCUCGUGUUGUGAAAUGUUGGGUUAAGUCCCGUAACGAGCGCAACCCUUGUCCUUAUUUGCCAGCACGUAAUGGUGGGAACUCUAAGGAGACUGCCGGUGACAAACCGGAGGAAGGUGGGGACGACGUCAAGUCAUCAUGGCCCUUA